rnacentral:tRNA from 1 species
GGCUUCACAGCUCAGUUGGUCCAGCAUCGCACCGGUAUCGCGGAGGCCGCGGGUUCCAAUCCUGUUGAAGCCC